CACCUUUUAGCUACAAUUAUAAAACACAAGUUUGAUAAAUAAAGAAGAAUUUUCUAAACUAAAAUAAGAAACUUUUGAAUCAGCUCACUGGAUUCAUCCCUGCUGUGACUUUUUAUUAACAAACUAAACUCAUCGGUUCACUGUAGAAUUGAGUUUUUCCAAUAAUAAAUCAAUAAAUAGUGUUAUUUAUUGAUUGGUCAACAAGCAGCUGGUUAGUGAUUAGUUCUUUAAUAUGAAUAAAAAAUAAAAUCUGAUCCAGUCUGGAUUUGGUUAUUGGGCUUCAUGAUUAUAUAAUUUCAAAAUAAAAGCACGUGAAGCACAAACAGAACUCUGAAACAUUCAGAGCGUCUGUAAAAAUGUUCUGUAGAUCCAGGUGAAACAGAACCGAGUCAGCCGGACCCAGCCGAUGUCUGUUCCAAUGUCCGGUCUAAUCAGAUCUCAGGUGGGCUCUCUGGUCCACCUGAGCUGGUCUGAGAGUCCAGGUGUGUUUUGGGUCCAUGCAGUUUGUUUUUGAAGCCCUGGAUUCUGAACUGAUGACAGCUGGUUCUGGUUCUGGUUGCUGCAGGCAACAAGAUAUUUCUGUUUUAGUUUUAUAACUAAAGCGUUUAGUUUGACCUGAACUGAGGUGACUUUAUGUGACGAGGAGUUUUUAUUAAAGAAACCAGAUGUUUGUUGGGUUCAGAUCAGAUGGAGUGACUGCAGCUGUGACUCUCAGAAUGUUAACAGUGUGAGGGUCUCUGCUGGUCCUGCUCUGGGUCCUGGCUCAGGUGUGUUUACAGGUGUGUUUACAGGUGUGUUUACAGGUGUGUAAGGACCAGCUUCACGCUGAGCCUGGACCAACAACACAUCUGGACUGUUUGUAUCUCCAUGUUUUAAUUGUGCCUAAUUAGUGUGAAUGCUGCUGUAUCAGGUGAAGAAGUGCAAUCUGUGUACUGUACUGUACUGUACUGUACUGUACUGUACUGUACUGUACUGUACUGUACUGUACUGUACUGUUGGAUGUAAUAAAGAUUUAGACUUUUCUUACAUUAUGAA